rnacentral:rRNA from 1 species
CCCCUAGAUGUUCUGGGCCGCACGCGCGCUACACUGAACAGUUCAACAAGUCUUAACCUUGGCCGAUAGGUCUGGGUAAUCUUUGAACGCUGUUCGUGAUUGGGAUAGACCUUUGCAAUUAUGGGUCUUCAACGAGGAAUUCCUAGUAAACGCAAGUCAUCAGCUUGCAUUGAUUACGUCCCUGCCCUUUGUACACACCGCCCGUCGCACCUACCGAUUGAAUGGUCCGGUGAAAUCUCGGGACGGCGGCUUGGUCGCUUGCGUCCGACUGCUGAAACUUGAUUAAACAAUAUCAUUUAGAGGAAGGUGAAGUAGUAACA